CCCUAGUAACUGCGAGUGAAGCGGGAAAAGCUCAAAUUUAAAAUCUGGCGGUCUUUGGCCGUCCGAGUUGUAGUCUGGAGAAGUGCUUUCCGCGCUGGACCGUGUAUAAGUCUCUUGGAACAGAGCGUCAUAGAGGGUGAGAAUCCCGUCUUUGACACGGACUACCAGUGCUUUGUGAUGCGCUCUCAAAGAGUCGAGUUGUUUGGGAAUGCAGCUCAAAAUGGGUGGUGAAUUCCAUCUAAAGCUAAAUAUUGGCGAGAGACCGAUAGCGAACAAGUACCGUGAGGGAAAGAUGAAAAGCACUUUGGAAAGAGAGUUAAACAGUACGUGAAAUUGCUGAAAGGGAAACGCUUGAAGUCAGUCGCGUUGUCCGGAACUCAGCCUUGCCUCGGCUUGGUGCACUUUCCGGAUGACGGGCCAGCAUCGAUUUUGACCGCUGGAAAAGGGCUGGAGGAAUGUGGCACCUUCGGGUGUGUUAUAGCCUCCAGUCGCAUACGGCGGUUGGGAUCGAGGAACGCAGCGCGCCUUAUGGCUGGGGUUCGCCCACAUUCGCGCUUAGGAUGCUGGCAUAAUGGCUUUAAACGACCCGUCUUGAAACACGGACCAAGGAGUCUAACAUACCUGCGAGUGUUUGGGUGGAAAACCCGAGCGCGUAAUGAAAGUGAAAGUUGAGACCUCUGUCGUGGAGGGCAUCGACGCCCGGACCUGACGUUCUCUGACGGAUCCGCGGUAGAGCAUGUAUGUUGGGACCCGAAAGAUGGUGAACUAUGCCUGAAUAGGGUGAAGCCAGAGGAAACUCUGGUGGAGGCUCGUAGCGAUUCUGACGUGCAAAUCGAUCGUCAAAUUUGGGUAUAGGGGCGAAAGAC
rnacentral:rRNA from 1 species